rnacentral:misc_RNA from 1 species
AACGCACCUUGCACUCCUUGGUAUUCCGAGGAGUAUGCCUGUUUGAGUGUCAUUAAAUUCUCAAACCUUCAUUGGUUGUUUGCGACUUCUGAAGGCUUUGGAUUUGUGGGGGUUGCUGGUUUCUCAUGGACUCAGCUCUCCUUAAAUGCAUUAGUGGUUUACUGCUUCUCCACUUUUGAUGUGAUAAUUAUCUACAUCGUACAGGUUGGAGACGUGAAAUGUAGCUGCUUUCUAACCGUCUGACGUUUGCUUGGACAACUUUGAACCUUUUGACCUCAAAUCAGGUAGGACUACCCGCUGAACUUAA